GGUCAUUUUUUUUUCUUUUCGCCAAGUGUUUUCAGGCUCUUUUUUUUUUUUUUUUUUUUUUUUUUUUGACCAAAAGAUGUGUGUUUGUU
rnacentral:ribozyme from 15 species